GAAAAAAAGGGCUACUCAUAUCAUAAACAAAUACCCUUCAAGCGUCCACAAUGUGUAACACACUAGGAAUCAACAGGCUGUGGAUAUGCUGGGUAUCACCCCAGCCUUCAAGGAACCUCUGGCUUAGUAAUGAUACGAUCUGGGCAGUUAUACAGCAUGUGGAAUUACAAGUUUUAAUGUAAUUAGUUUCCUCUUUCAAUAAACUGUUUCUCAGAGAAGGGGUUAACAGGUUUAUCCCCAGAAAAAUCAUUAGAAAAUCAUUAGCUGCUGUGCUUUCCUUUUUGAGACCUUCCAUAGAUGUUUUCAAGAAGCUAAGCAGUUGAAACUAAAAGUGUGGUUCACACAAGGCUCCCACAUCAGAAUCACCUGGGGCCUUGUUAUAAAUACAAACCUCCAAGCCUUACCUCAAAUUUAGUAAAUUUAGUCUGUGACUAUGAAUCAGUACUGCUAAGUUUUAAGUAGCUCUACAAGUGUUCUGAUGCACACCGGGCUUGAGAAUGCAUGGUCUAAGCAGGUAACUCAGCCCAGACUGCAAGGCUACUGACUAAGGUACAAUGGAGCACACCAACUCAUGCCAUGCUCUCACAUGCCAAGGGACCACAGGGACAUAGACCCUUCAUGGGUGUGGAAGGGGCCCUGGAAAGGGCAGAUCUCACUGCCUCUUAGGUUCUGAGGAAAUGGAAGUAUAAAGAGAUGAUAGAGCCUUUCAUAGUUGAGAUAGAGCGGGAAAUGGGACAAGGGUCAAGCCAUUGUAAAAUCUACUUAGUCUGAAAAAGGCCCAGUUUAUUCUUUUAACUUAAUCUAUAUGUUGUUCUUCCUCUUCUUCCAGACCCUUAAUCAAUUAAGUAUCUGAAACCAGGACAAGAGAGAAACCUCUUGGUGUAAAUGGACCAAAGUAGAUAAAGAAUGCCGAGAUUUGGAUCAACACAGUCACCUAAAUAACCCUAUUCUUAAGGCACAACUUCAAUUAUGAAUCACCUGUAUACAUCAUGCCUUAUGCCGACCCUACCCAAAAGGUCCUAUAAAACACCAAACCCUAAACCCUUAUGUGCACCUGCUCUCUGAGGUCAUCCAUGCACCCAUCUGAGUGUUUGCUGUCUGAUAUCAAAUAAACUUUCCAGCUGCAUAAGCUGACUGCAUUUUCUCUGAACUCUUUUCUAUGAUAAUCACAAGAACUCUCCAACCUCCACCUCUCAUGGUAAAUGUCUGUCACUUUGCUAUUUCAUUCAGCUUUCUUGUCUUAACACAAUCUUUUCUCUCUUCCUGUUUUAUUUUAGGCCAGUAGGGAGAGGAAGUUCUCAGAACAUAAACUCACCCCAUCCAGUGCUCUGCAGCACCCCCAAAUCCUGGGGUGAAGAGCUAUAAUUCCCAGGCUGUGAAAAUUCAAGCAGACACUGGACACCACAGGACCCUGGCUUUACGAGCUGGCAAGCCAUCUGCCCUACAGGGAAAUAAGAGGGAGAACGCGGCUAUGGCUUGACCAUCUGUCUUGUGUCCCAGCCUCAGGAACACUUGGCUGGCUUCUUUGGCGAACAGAUCAGUUCCAGCUGAGGGUCCAAGAAGGAACCCAUGGCAGCGAAUCAGCCUUGGGCUUUUCCAGAUGGAUGAUCACAGGAUGGCCAUACUGGAUGGGGGAAUGACUGUGACAGCCAGGGCCAGCCCCGGCGUAUUAGAAGGGGCCUCAGGCAACAUCAGAGGGGAAUUAGAGGAGUAGUUCAAGCUCACCUGCCCUUUUAGCCUUUGUUACUAUUACAUAUGACGGGAAUCCCCACUUGGCCUGGAAUUCUUCCCUUAGGCGUAAGUAUCCCUUUCACGUUUCAUCCAUGCAAUUAAAACUCUUGAGUACCUAACAUGUUUUUUAGAAAUAAGGAUAGGUACUGGGGAUUUGACAGUGAACCUGACAUGGCUGUCUGCUUGGGUCUUGUUGGGAAGACAGACAGACAAGUAAACAACCACAAAAUAAUAUAAUAAGUACUCUGAGAGGCAAUCUGGGAAUGCCAGAACAUAGGAGGGACACCCAAACUAUCCUCCUUCAUGAAAUACCUAUGAAAGACUUAAAAGAUAAACUGGAGCUGGGGAACCUCUAAAUGGGGAGAGGAAUGAGAGUGUUUUAGGCAAAAGAACUGCUUGGGCAGAGGUCAGGAGCCAGGAGAGAGAAGGGAGUCAACAGCCUGUCAGUGCUGCUAGAGGGGAGUUUGAAGCACUGGAGCGAGAAUCCACGAUGACAGCAUAACACUGCGAUUUGUUAGGAGCAACUGCUAUGAUAUCCUCAUUGUCCAGAAGACUAGAAGGUCAACAGAUGAGCUAUGGGAUGCCGGAGAAAGAAUUUGUUUCUUAGGGGCUGAGGGUCCAGGCAGAGCAAUAUCCACAGGGCACUUAGAGGAACAGGGUGCAGAGGCACAGGACAGAGGAACACAGCAGUGAGAAGCCAGGCUGGAGAGGUGAUAUGGUGGUAGGAGGUGGGGUGGAUUCCAGAAUGUUGAAGAAGAAAGGAUGCUCAAGGCAAUUCUGGCCUUUCUGCCAAGUUUUUCUCUCUCAAUAAACAAACGGCUUACCUGGA